rnacentral:rRNA from 1 species
UACGUAGGGUGCAAGCGUUAAUCGGAAUUGCUGGGCGUAAAGCGUGCGCAGGCGGUUAUAUAAGACAGAUGUGAAAUCCCCGGGCUCAACCUGGGAACUGCAUUUGUGACUGCAAGGCUAGAGUACGGCAGAGGGGGAUGGAAUUCCGCGUGUAGCAGUGAAAUGCGUAGAUAUGCGGAGGAACACCAAUGGCGAAGGCAAUCCCCUGGGCCUGUACUGACGCUCAUGCACGAAAGCGUGGGGAGCAAACAGG